rnacentral:rRNA from 1 species
UACGUGGGGGGCAAGCGUUGUCCGGAUUUACUGGGCGUAAAGCGCACGCAGGCGGUCUCUUAAGUUUGGAGUGACAGUUGGUGGCUUAACUGCCAAAGUGCUUCGAAAACUGAGAGACUUGAGGGCUUCAGAGGGACACGGAAUUCCGGGUGGAGUGGUGAAAUGCGUAGAGAUCCGGAGGAACACCAAAGGCGAAGGCAGUGUCCUGGGGAGUACCUGACGCUCAGGUGCGAAAGCCAGGGGAGCGAACGGG